UUUAUUCACAUUGGUUUUCUACCCAAAAGCCACCACCCCCGGCUGUGAGGAGAGUGGCGCCUCCUCCAUGAAUUCCUCUUCCACUCCCAGCCACUCCGCUCAAACCUUUGCUAAUAUCCUGCUCUCCUCUCCGUCUCAGAGGCUGGGCUUUCUGUCUCAUCUCAAGAACCGCCAAAGCGCCCGCAAUUGCCUCUUAUCUCCCACCCAAACCGUCCACAUCAAUCCUAAGCGUCUCCUGUUCUGAUUUCCAUUUUUUGUCUUCUUUUCCAGCUUUUCAGACUUCACCUUCCUUCCUUUCAUGGAGACAUCUAGUGCUUCUGUUUUGUCAGUGUCUCUGCUUUAGUGGUCAAAUUUGUCUCCAUUUCAUUAUUUUCAUCAAUUCGGGCUAAUAGGGUCUCCAAAUUUAACACAGGCAUGGUGUAAACUGUUUCUGAACUGCCAUAUUCAAAAUCUCCCUCUCCCUAUUUUCCAGCAGCACCUUAUCAGUUUGUCAAGGUCACAGAAUAACUCUUUCCCAAGAGAUCCUGUUUCCUGCAUUUUUCCAGCCCUCCCUCUUCCUUCCAGCCUGAUCCCCAACACACACCAGCUGUUUAACAUAAAAUCCAAUUUCUCAAAUUAAGAUUCGAAUUAAACAAAUAAACCAAAUAAUUACUUUAAAAGAGGAAUCAUAAAAAAGAAAAAAAGAA